GGGUGUUGCUUGGCUGUAUUUUGCAUGUUGUGUUGCAAGGACUGCCAUGAGUUUGGAGGAGCAGAAGUGCAUCUAGACAGUGGAAUUCUUUCUGGGUAGAGAACUAAACAGCUAAUGUGCUUCAAGCUGUAGCUUCUUGCUGCUUGCAAAGAAGUUUCCUUUGCAUGUGUUCUUCAUCAAACAAUGCUUUGUUUUGACAUUUACUGUCUAACUGCAGCUAAGAGUCACAGUCACAACCAGUAUUUGUAAACAGAAGGCAAACUGAGCGCUGGCUUUCCCUGCCAGCUGCUGUUAACACAUUUACAGUUGGCUUCCCACUUGUGAUCCUUCAGAGGCCCAAGAAGGAUUUUGGGCCUUCCUAAUGAUACAUACUGUAAGCUGAUUGACCAGCUUCAACCUCACAGCAUUCUUUACUGACAUUAAAAGGGCAGAUAAAGGCCGUGCCAAACAUUUCUGGGCAUACUUGUGUUAUUUUUAUUAGGCUUUGAAUUAAGGUCUGCGAUUUUUACACUUCUGACAUUCAUGGACUAAAGUUACACUUCCUGAUAAAUCAAGUAAGUUGACAACACCAAUAUUAAAGAAAUAUCCAUGUAUGUGCAUAAUAGCCUUGUAAAAUGUAGUUGUCUAUAAAAAGGCAUCCAAAGGUAUCAUUGUUCCAAAGGAGAUUUAGACAGCAGUUUUACAUCAGCAUACUUUCCAGAGCUCACUAGAUCUCCUGCUUUGCUUUUACAAGAGAAUAACACCUCUCAUCUGCAGAGCACAUCUGUUGUUCGCUGCUGCAAACAUCUUGCAUUUCUCAUGGUCCACUGCUUUCAAAGCUGAGUUUUUCAAAGGCUACCAAUUCCACCAGCUUAUACCAGCUUCCACAUCUGCUGCUUUGUCCCCUGGCAGAAACUAGGAGUUGGUUUUAGUACAUGUUUUAAUAACGCAUGCUCACUGUUGAAAGGCCUGAUUUCUCUAAUUUCCCUUCUUACUGGAGCACCAAGCUUCUUUGCAGGGGCACAAAAGCAGCAGGGGCCAAAGUAAAAGCAAGGCAUUACUUAGGCUGCAUUUUGCCAGAUACCAAAUGCAUAAAAUGGGGCAUUUGUGGUGGUUUUCUAAACCACACAGACACACAUAACAGAGACCUGUGUGGAAUGUCCAUGUGAAUGGGAAGAUGCAUGUGAUUUCAGGAGCUUAUUGGUUAACUUUUGUCCCUUCUUAGUUUUUAGUAAAUGACACUACUUUCUUUUUUAAUCCGUUUUUAGUCUCAUUAGUAAAUAGGUGGUGCUAUAUUCCAAGAGGAGAAGGGAUAGCAGAGAUGUGCUUUAAUUGGGUGAGAUGCAAAGUCUCAGUCCCUUGAAGACUGAGUGUGCCUUUUCUAGGUGUUGUAAUAGAUUUGAAUGCAGCCCCUCCUUUUAUUUAUUUUAACAAACUAUUUCCUACGAAUGGAACAACAGCUACUGUUCUAAAGGCAAACCAAAACUGUUUUGAGCCCUAUAUUGGUCAUCUACAUUGUUGGAAAUAGCCGCAGGUGCGUGUUUGGAGAUAACCUGACCAUAGGUGUGGAGGUCUGUGCUUGACAUCCUGCACAGACAGUCCUGUUGAGGUUUUCUCUGUCCAAGCCCAAGAUCUUACCACAGUUUGGUGGUACUCUGUCUGCCCCCAAACCGGUGAGGUUAAUGGAUACCCUUUCUGUGAUGUACAGGAUGACUUUGUUUUCCUGUGUCCUCUUGUCCGUGAGAUGCUUAGUGUCUGUCCACUCCCAAUAAAUAUAGCCAUAUGUAUAUACAUAUGUAUACACACACGUGUUUUUAAUUGGAGAAUGUGGCACUUAACAUCAGUGCCUCAACUUGCCUCAGUUUAACCUUCUGUUGUUUUACAUGGGUAUAUUAUGAGUGAUUGCAGAAGUUUGGGAUUUGGUCACUGUCUUUAAUUACUGUGAGUGUCUGCAGUACAGAGAAAAGUAACUUUGUACCUGCUCCUUAAAUGGUGCUGAGACUUUAAGGUAUAGAAGGAUAGCCAGUAAAAGUACAUGGAGCAGGGGGAUGAGGUGCUAUUUUAUAGAACAGAUUUAUAUGAAGAACAUCUGGGUAAAACACAACUCGGAUGUGGUGCGUCGUCAGACACACCGACCAUAGGACAGAUGAUUUUUUUAAACGAGGCUUUCCUCUCAUUGGUGACCAUAGAGUUUCAAAAUUCUGACUUGGCCUGUCAGUUUUUACAGUAGGCACUUUCUUCUUCAGUGAUGGCAACUUCAUAUGAGAGGAGGGAGAGGAUUAAUUCAGAAGAUUUCAGCUCACUGUGCUGGGAGGGACCAAACUCAAGGAAACCUCUGAUCUAUAUACACAACUGCUGCAUUUUUUAUAAAUAUAUGUAAAUGUCCUAUUGUAAUAUUUGAUCCUGGAAAUAAAACAAACUGUUUUAAG
rnacentral:lncRNA from 1 species